CCCAUGCCAUUUUCUAGAGAUGGAAAAUCUGAAAGGUCUCGAGAGAAAACUUCCUCACUAGGUCGGUCAAGAUCUGUGAAAUGUAUAACAGAAAUUUGAAGCGGGGCAGUUCAUUAAUUUUAUACACUUGUGUUCCCACAUAAUUCUUUAAACUACAGACUAAGAGGAAUUGCUUUCUCUUCCACUCAUGCCUUCACUAAGAGAGUGAACCUGCUACACACUCCAGCCACGAAAUAAGAACCACUCAAGAGUCCCUCCCUCACGACCAUCACCCCUAACUUCCCAUACUCUUGGUGAAUCCAGUUCAAGUGGUUCCAAGUGAGAAGUCACAACUACCAGGCCCCUGAUGGCUGUGCCAUCUUUCAAAUGGGCUUUGCCCAAGGAUCCGCAGCUAUGCAGUGCUUUCAAAAUAAUGUGCCAAAACUAAGGCUCUGGCAGAUUCCAUUUAGUUACAUUCUCCUUAAGAAAAACUAAAUGACUGAUGUUUGACAAAGAGCAUUCUGCAUGGUCUAGGUAAGCAAUUAUUCACCAAAGAAUGCUAAAACCAGGGCAAAGUGCCUUUUCAGCAGCUGAAGAAUUUGCGGUUUUACUUGCCUCUGAAAGUCGAAGGGAAUAAAAAUCAGGAAGAUGGCUCCUCAGACAAGCAGCCUCACUUUAUCACAGAAGAGAGCUCUGGCUUCCUGGUAGAAUAUGAAGCCAAUAUCCCUUCUUUCUGCCUUCACAUCCCCACGGAAUACAGUUAAGUAUAUACAUUAGGUGGUUUGGCCAAAGGAAAUCCUUUAGGCAGCUGCCAAAUUGAGUGUUCCUGAACCCCCAGGGAUAAACAGCAGCACUGUCUGGGCCUCACUCCAGAGAUUCUGAUGGAGCAGGCCUGGGGCGAAGCUCAGAAAUCUGCAUUUUAAAUAAGGGUCCUAGGUGAUUCUAACCUGCGAGUCACUGUGACAAACCCACCGUGAGGAAGUUGCAUGGAAUUCCCAUUUCAAAAAUACAGACAGGAGGAGAAUUUGCUUUGGGCAAGAUGAUGUAUCAGGAAUUCAAUCUGCCCUUCCAUUUGAAACAACCAAAAAAAGAAAAAACUGACAAAACAUAUGAAAACCACGAUUCUCAAGACCCUGGGCAUUAUGCAAGGAAGGAUGAUGAUCCUUGAGAGAUGGUGUAUCCGGUGAUUGUCCAGUUCACUGUCUUGAGUCUCCAGUCCACGGAGCAGGGAGGGGUAAUCUGGGUGGAUCACAGUGACUGUCUGAGUUGAGAAGACAGAACUCAGGGUCCAAAGAGAAGACCAAAGAGGAUGGAGGUGGCAGCACAGAGUGUGGGAAGUAGAGCCUGCAGAGAGAACCCUGGCCAUGUGCCGGGCUCCCCCGAGUCUUCAGCUGAGCGCUACUGGUACAUGUGUGUGAGAAACCGGACGUCAGCCAUCAGAAAGGAGGAGGGGAACAGAGUCCUGGGCUCACAGAGGGCCAGGAACAACACCUGGUCUCAUCGACCAGACUGGAAAACCUCAAAAUUCACAGACAUCGGCGAGUGGACUCAGAAGGGUCUUGCCUCAGUAGCAGAGAAUAAUUAGUCCUGGAUCAAAUGCUGCUCUGGUCCUAAUAAGUCUUAAAAGAAAGCCCCAAAAGCAUCAAACUGAUUUUAAGUAACUUAACUGAGUCAUCUGUAGGAAUACAAAGUGGUGAGUCUUGCUAUGAACCCAAUAACUCACAUGGUCAAAUUGGGAUCUGAAUGAUUUUAUUUUACUUUCAUACCUAGCUUUUAAAUUACUGUGUACCUUUUUUUCCUUAAAAAUUGUAUUUAUCAAAAACAAUGUUUAAAUUUUCUAUUAAUAGUCAAGUUUGUCUCUGGACAGUUUAAUGGCUACCUAAGUGCAAUUCGAAUGCACUGUAGUUUCAGCAUGCAGCACACAGUAUUCUCCAUUAGGGGGUUCUGUAAGACUAAGACAUGUGAUACUCUUGUGCUCUUUAAAAAUAGAUUGUAACAGAACGUGCUAGCAGCCUGUUUCAUCUCUUUCACCUAAAGUGUCUCUGAGCACUAGAAAAAAUAAUUCUGAAACAAAUGAAUCCUGGCACAGAACAAACCACCUCUCUCAGUAUCACUUCCCUUCCAUUCAUUUCAAUAAACAUGCGCUGAGUGCAGUAAACUGUCAGUCACCAUUCCCGGCUUCAGGGAUCCAGAGAUGGGUAGGGCCAGGCCCCAACCAAUAAGUGAAAGUUUACAUAUGACCCCAAAAUGAUUACACACACACACAUGCACACACUCACCAUACACAAAACUCACUUUUAUAAAAUGACAUUCAAUUGCAUCUAGGGCUAUUGCAGGAAAAGAAUUUGAAAACUAAGUUGGGGAUUGGGUAUACAAGGGGAACCUGUUAAAGAUAUGAUCUUUUCAUUAUUGCCCAUUUUAAAGGAUAAUAAAUCUUCUUAGCAUGGACUACUGAAUUUAAGUCAAAAAAUAUUUUUAGAACAAAGUUAUUUUUCAAAAGCAAAAAAUUAGGUUUUUUAAUAUAUCAAGGCUUAAAUGCUUUCACAUCUUUCUUGAGCUUUAGAUUUGAGGAGAUAAUUACCAAUAAGAGACAGGCAACCAGGAGUGGAAGGAGAAAGAGAGGGACACAGAGAGUGUGCGUGGGGGUAGAGAAGGUGAUGAAUCCUCGUGGUCUGGUUUGAGUGCUUGGGUCCUGUCAGGCCCGAUAGGCAAGGUCCACAGCAAAGCCAUCCAUGGGCGCCCGCUUUGUGGAAGCCAAGGCCCUGCGAGACUUUAGCUGGCUUCAGUUUGGUUUCUGGCAUUUGCAACACAAAAUAAAGUCCUUCAUUCUUCAGCGGGACUGAUGGACAACUGCAUAUUUUAAAUUGUGAGCUAGAAACAACUAUUUAGAAAGAGUUAUGGAAUGAGAUUACACAGAGUUUAGUAUGACAUAGUUUUACUGAGGUGACAAUUUUUAGUAGAAUGGAAAGAUGCAAAUAGGGUGAAUAAUUCAAGUCAAAUCAGUUGAUUACCAAUUCAUGUAAAGGGGGUUUCAGGCAGCGUGAGAUAAGAAUAGCAGCUAACACUUACCAGGGGCCAGGCACUGUUCCACAUGUCCUAAACUUACUAUCUUGUUCAGUCCUUACAGCCAACCCCCACAUGAGGGCUAUGUAUUAUUCCUGUGAGAUGGGGAAAUGGAGGCCCAGGUAUAUUAACUAUCUUGCUCAAGGUCACAGAACUAAUACACAAGGCAACAGAGAUUAUAAUAAAUGGCACUGUGGGGGGAUACAGGAAGAACACUCUGGAUUGGAACACAGGGAUCAUUUCAAAGACGAGUAGGGAGGAACAUUACAGCAGUAACAUGAGAAGGGUUGUGGAAUACAUAAAUGCCAAGCUCCAGAAACAGAGACAGCUAAAAAGCAGCUUUGGCUCCCAGGGGAAACUAAGGACCAAGGAGGUUAGACUCCUGUUUUCUCUCUCCACCACUUCAGCUCUUUCUAAGUUAGGACCCACAAAGUGAAUCCAGUUCACGUGCCAAGGGAAUCAUCAUCACAGCGCCCACAUGCUGAGUUCUCCCCAUCUGCCAGGCACUGUAACUCACUCUGCCUACAUUCUCUCACUGAAUCCCCUCCACGUGAGCCCCGUCUCCACCCCAUCAGGACAUCAUUUUCUUUUGUAGCCAUUAUCAAUUGUAGUUAAUUUAUGUUUGUAAUCCUGAUUCCCCAUUAGAUUUUAAAUUCCAAGAAGGAAUUUGUGGACAUGGCUCUGUCUUCAGCAGCUAACAGAGCUUGACAUCUAUGAGGCACAAAAAAUAUUGAAUGAAUGAAUGAAUGAAUAUUAACAAUGAAUGAAUAUAUAAUGAAGAAAAAAAUAUCAAAAACAGUUAACAGUGGUUAUUUCAUGACGCUGGAUGAUUUUUCUUCACUUACCUGAAUGUUUCUGUACGUUACAUAUGGGCAAUAAUUUGCAUGUAUUCCUUUUUAUGUAUAAAAAUAUAUAAAAUAACAGACAAAAAGUCCUACAAAUUUAGAAACCAACUUUCAUUUAUAUGGGAUAGUUUUCAUUUUUUUUCUUGUAGAUGGAGAAUUAAACUGCUUUCAAAAUUGGGUAAUUACGAAAUAUGCCUCAUUUAUUCCAAAAGUUUCCUGAAUUGGAAAUCAGUAUUUUGUGUGGAAUUCCUCCUGGCAAAACUUGGGUCCUAAGGCUCGACUUCUCCAUGGGGAUCCCUGGAUCCCUGAGCACCCUCUGGAAACAUCACUCUCACAUGACCCAGGAGCAUCUGUGAUGCCCAGGAGAAGAGGACUGGGCCCUGAGCAGGCCAGAAGGUGAAGAUCAACGAAUAUUGAACCUUCAUAUGGGAGAGAGAAAAAUGAGUCCGCUUUUUGUUUUUGCUGAGCAACUUCAAGCCACUGGAGAACAUUUUCAGAUAUCGUUGUUUCCUCUCAAACAGACAGACAGACAUCUUUCUAGUUACUCUUUCAUUUUUCAUAUCCCUAAGAACUCAUACUGCAACAACCAUUUCCAAAUUGUUUAGAAGAAUUCUGCCAUACUACCUUCAGGGAAUAUGCAUUAUUUCACACUAUUUGAUUUCAUUUUUAAUCUAUAGGAAUCGGAAAUGGAAGCCAAACAAUAUUUUUCAGAAAGUUAACUAUUUCAAGAUCCCCUAUUGACAAACUUUUUAAAAAAGAAUUUGUUCUAACUUAAGUUGUCACCUAGCAACCAUGACAAGCAGCUGCUUCAGCCAUCACACCUAUAAAUACGCCCUGGCCCAGAGCCCUCACAGACUUUUCAUUCUCGGCUAGUGACUAAUGGUCUCAUGCUCUCUGUUGGUGGCGAACAUCUGUUGAUGGUAACUCCUGCCGAAUUUUUCUUAGAAAGGUCAGUCAGGAGUAUCCAGUUACAGAUUUUAACAUUUCUUAGUGCAACGUGUUAGAAUUUCUUUUAAUCCUGUGGAUACAUAAUCUGUUCUUCCGCAUGUGUGCGUACCUGUGUGUGAGUGCGGGUAGGCCGAGAAACCAAAUAAAAACAGGGGUAUGUUUCUCUGCACAAACACACUCAGAAUUAGAACCAUGAUGAAGCAACUAAGAUAUGUCAACUGGAGGAUUAAAUAAGCAAACACGAGAUUAAGAAAUUAAAUAGCACUCCACUUGAAGGCUUCGCUUUCUCAGACCCAUUAACCACUUGAGCAACUCCUCCCGGGAUGGGGGACCAGGCGGCGCCAUCUGCGUGUCGGCUGUUUCUGCCCCUGGAAGCUGAGCCUCCCCUCCCUCAGGGGAACUUGGCAUUUUAUCUGAGCUCUCCUUUUUAUACCAAGUUUCAAACGAAUUAGAGAUCAGUCACUUUGUGAAACUGUCCCUUUCUCCCUUCCAUCUCAAGCUCGCACCGCCACUUGGCUGGGUGCGUAGACCAACAAUGAUCCAAUCCAUGGAGAUCAUCUGGAAGCCUGGCACUAAACCAUCAUCAUCUUCCUUCUUAUGUCAUUCUAGUUUCUAUGAACAGAUGCCAGUUAGAAGUUAUUUUUCAGCAUUUUCAAUUUUAACUUUUCAACAACUAGACUUUCAUAAGCCCAGGGCAUGAACAAUAUAAAUUCCAUUAGCAGCUCAGAACAAGUACUUACUUGAGAUGUGCAGGAGAUUAACCACCCUUUCAUUUGUGAAUGCCAAGAUUUGUUUUAAUCACUAUCCCUGAGGGAAGAAAAGGUUUCUACUUUAUCCCUGAACGACAGAUAACAUCUGAGAGUCAAGAAACAUUUCUCAAGGAAAACAGAAAUGGUUACCAUGAAGCAAGUUUGCUAAUUUGGAUAGAAGCCUUUCCUUGCAUUCUGCUUGGGACCCACAACUUUUCAUUAAGUAUAAUCCAGGAUUUACUGUAGUUGAAGUCAAAAGUAAAUGUCCUCUCCCUUUUUUUUUUUUUUUUACCUUUGGCCUAGUUAUAUGAAACCAAAACUUCUGUGACAAUACUAAACAAAAUAUUUCUUACAGUGAAAAAAUUUUCAUUAAUAAUAUAGUUCCUAAUUUUGUUUUUUCAAGACUUUACCCAUUGCAUGGGGCCUAAACAGGAAUAUACAAUCCAAACAGACAGAAGGAUCAAGUUCCUCCAAAGUGCUUUUAUUAUGAAGGCCAAUUCAAAUUUUUUUUUUUUCUGCUUUGUCUCCCCAAAUCCCCCCAGUACAUAGUUGUAUAUUUUAGUUGUAGGU